rnacentral:rRNA from 1 species
GACAGAGGUGCCAAGCGUUAGGCGGAAUCACUGGGCUUAAAGCGUGUGUAGGCGGACUUGUAAGUACCUUGUGAAAUCCCACGGCUCACCCGUGGAACUGCUGGGCAUACUGCGGGUCUUGGGCCAACUAGGGGCAGCCGGAACAAGCGGUGGAGCGGUGAAAUGCGUAGAUAUCGCUUGGAACGCCGAAGGUGAAAACAGGCUGCUGGGGUUGCGCCGACGCUGAGACACGAAAGCCAGGGGAGCAAACGGG